rnacentral:rRNA from 1 species
AUUGAACGCUGGCGGCAUGCUUUACACAUGCAAGUCGAACGGUAGAGGGGGCAACCCCUUGAGAGUGGCGAACGGGUGAGUAAUGCAUCGGAACGUGCCCAGUCGUGGGGGAUAACGCAGCGAAAACUGUGCUAAUACCGCAUACGAUCUCUGGAUGAAAGCGGGGGACCGAAAGGCCUCGCGCGAUUGGAGCGGCCGAUGUCAGAUUAGGUAGUUGGGGGGGUAAAGGCUCACCAAGCCAACGAUCUGUAGCUGGGCUGAGAGGACGACCAGCCAAACAGGGACUGGGACACGGCCAAGACUCCUAGGGGAGGCAGCAGUGGGGAAUUUUGGACAAUGGGCGCAAGCCUGAUCCAGCAAUGCCGCGUGCAGGAAGAAGGCCUUCGGGUUGUAAACUGCUUUUGUACGGAACGAAAAGGUCUGGGUUAAUACCCUGGGCACAUGACGGUACCGUAAGAAUAAGCACCGGCUAACUACGUGCCAGCCGCCGCAGUAA